rnacentral:rRNA from 1 species
UGGGGAAUAUUGCACAAUGGGCGAAAGCCUGAUGCAGCAACGCCGCGUGAGUGAUGAAGGUCUUCGGAUUGUAAAGCUCUGUCUUUUGGGACGAUAAUGACGGUACCAAAGGAGGAAGCCACGGCUAACUACGUGCCAGCAGCCGCGGUAAUACGUAGGUGGCGAGUGUUGUCCGGAUUUACUGGGCGUAAAGGGUGCGUAGGCGGAUGUUUAAGUGAGAUGUGAAAUACCCGGGCUUAACUUGGGUGCUGCAUUUCAAACUGGAUAUCUAGAGUGCAGGAGAGGAGAAUGGAAUUCCUAGUGUAGCGGUGAAAUGCGUAGAGAUUAGGAAGAACACCAGUGGCGAAGGCGAUUCUCUGGACUGUAACUGACGCUGAGGCACGAAAGCGUGGGUAGCAAACAGGAUUAGAUACCCUGGUAGUCCACGCCGUAAACGAUGAGUACUAGGUGUAGGAGGUAUCGACCCCUUCUGUGCCGCAGUAAACACAUUAAGUACUCCGCCUGGGAAGUACGAUCGCAAGAUUAAAACUCUAAAGUGAAUUGACGGGGUC